UGGGGCUACACACGUCAUACAAUGGCUGGUCAAAGGGUUGCAACCCGCGAGGGGGAGCCAAUCCCAUAAAGCCAGUCGUAGUCCGGAUCGUAGUCUGCAACUCGACUACGUGAAGUCGGAAUCGCUAGUAAUCGUGGAUCAGAAUGUCACGGUGAAUACGUUCCCGGGUCUU
rnacentral:rRNA from 1 species